UACGUAGGGUGCGAGCGUUGUCCGGAAUUAUUGGGCGUAAAGAGCUCGUAGGCGGUUUGUCGCGUCGACUGUGAAAACCUACAGCUUAACUGUGGGCUUGCAGUCGAUACGGGCAGACUUGAGUUCGGUAGGGGAGACUGGAAUUCCUGGUGUAGCGGUGAAAUGCGCAGAUAUUAGGAGGAACACCGGUGGCGAAGGCGGCUUUCUGGACCGUAACUGACGCUGAGACACGAAAGCGUGGGUAGCAAACAGG
rnacentral:rRNA from 1 species